AGCGAACGCUGGCGGCAGGCUUAACACAUGCAAGUCGAACGCAUCCUUCGGGGUGAGUGGCAGACGGGUGAGUAACACGUGGGAACAUACCUUUUGGUUCGGAAUAACUCAUGGAAACGUGAGCUAAUACCGGAUACGCCCUUUUGGGGAAAGAUUUAUUGCCGAAAGAUUGGCCCGCGUCUGAUUAGCUAGUUGGUGAGGUAAUGGCUCACCAAGGCGACGAUCAGUAGCUGGUCUGAGAGGAUGAUCAGCCACACUGGGAUUGAGACACGGCCCAGACUCCUACGGGAGGCAGCAGUGGGGAAUAUUGGACAAUGGGCGCAAGCCUGAUCCAGCCAUGCCGCGUGAGUGAUGAAGGCCUUAGGGUUGUAAAGCUCUUUUAUCCGGGAAGACAAUGACUGUACCGGAAGAAUAAGCCCCGGCUAACUUCGUGCCAGCCGCCGCAGUAA
rnacentral:rRNA from 1 species